AAGCUCAAGAAAAGAAAGGGCAGCAUCCAAAGGAAGAUGCUUGUAUCUUUUUUGUUUUGUGUAAAUCCACAUUUUCCCCCUUGCAUGUGAGAACUGUUCUUUAUCAAUUUUUCAUACAAUUGCCUCUCCUCUUUUCAGGACAAAACUACAGUCAAGUGUUGAAAGAGGUUUAAAUGCCGACCGAUACCUGCACAAUAUUGUCUACGAUUUGGACGAAUUGGCGGCGGCAGAGGCUCACAUCCGCACGCAAGAUCCUGCUGAAAUGUUGUGCAACAAGGAUAUCCAAAAACUCGGUGUCAAAGAACCUGGAUCCACGGCACGCCUUCGCUUUGAAUCUCGAUUUGAAAGUGGCAAUCUGAGGAAAGCAAUUCAGGUUGGAACCAGAGAGUAUGAUCUAAUUUUGACACCAGAUAUCAAUUCUACAAGUCAUCAUCAGUGGUUUUAUUUGAGGUAAUUGAUCCUUUUUUUGUCUCUCUAUAUUUUUCUCUCAUACCUUAUGUAAUGUCAAUGAUUAGAAAUACUUCACCAAAUAAAAAACUGAAAA
rnacentral:lncRNA from 1 species